rnacentral:rRNA from 1 species
CCUACGGGUGGCAGCAGUCGAGAAUUAUUCACAAUGGGGGAAACACUGAUGGUGCGACGCCGCGUGGGGGAAUGAAGGUCUUCGGAUUGUAAACCCCUGUCAUGUGGGAGCAAAUUAAAAAGAUAGUACCACAAGAGGAAGAGCCGGCUAACUCUGUGCCAGCAGCCGCGGUAAUACAGAGGUCUCAAGCGUUGUACGGAAUCACUGGGCGUAAGGCGUGCGUAGGCUGUUUCGUAAAUCGUGUGUGAAAGGCGCGGGCUCAACCCGCGGACGGCACAUGAUACUGCGAGACUAGAGUAAUGGAGGGGGAACCGGAAUGCUCGGUGUAGCAGUGAAAUGCGUAGAUAUCGAGAGGAACACUCGUGGCGAAGGCGGGUUCCUGGACAUUAACUGACGCUGAGGCACGAAGGCCAGGGGAGCGAAAGGGAUUAGAUACCCGGGUAGUC